rnacentral:rRNA from 1 species
GACGAGGGGUGCGAGCGUUAUUCGGAAUUAUUGGGCGUAAAGGGUGUGUAGGCGGUAUAUUAAGUCAACUGUUAAAUUUUCUGGCCUAACCGGAAACAUGCGGUAGAAACUGAUAUGCUGGAGGAUGGAAGAGAGAAGUGGAAUUCUCGGAGUAGCGGUAAAAUGCGUAGAUCUCGAGAGGAACACCAAUGGCGAAGGCAGCUUCUUGGUCCAUUCCUGACGCUGAGACACGAAAGCGUGGGGAGCAAACAGG